rnacentral:rRNA from 1 species
AGUCGAGCGACGGACGAGAGUGCUUGCACUCUCUGAUGUUAGCGGCGGACGGGUGAGUAACACGUGGGUAACCUACCUAUAAGACUGGGAUAACUUCGGGAAACCGGAGCUAAUACCGGAUAAUAUUUAGCUUCGCAUGAAGCAAUAGUGAAAGACGGUUCUGCUGUCACUUAUAGAUGGACCCGCGGUGUAUUAGCUAGUUGGUGAGGUAACGGCUCACCAAGGCAACGAUACAUAGCCGACCUGAGAGGGUGAUCGGCCACACUGGGACUGAGACACGGCCCAGACUCCUACGGGAGGCAGCAGUAGGGAAUCUUCCGCAAUGGACGAAAGUCUGACGGAGCAACGCCGCGUGAGUGAAGAAGGUUUUCGGAUCGUAAAACUCUGUUGUAAGGGAAGAACAAGUACGUUAGUAACUGAACGUACCUUGACGGUACCUUACCAGAAAGCCACGGCUAACUACGUGCCAGCAGCCGCGGUAAUACGUAGGUGGCAAGCGUUAUCCGGAAUUAUUGGGCGUAAAGCGCGCGUAGGCGGUCUCUUAAGUCUGAUGUGAAAGCCCCCGGCUCAACCGGGGAGGGUCAUUGGAAACUGGGAGACUUGAGUGCAGAAGAGGAGAGUGGAAUUCCAUGUGUAGCGGUGAAAUGCGCAGAGAUAUGGAGGAACACCAGUGGCGAAGGCGGCUCUCUGGUCUGUAACUGACGCUGAGGUGCGAAAGCGUGGGGAUCAAACAGGAUUAGAUACCCUGGUAGUCCACGCCGUAAACGAUGAGUGCUAAGUGUUGGGGGGUUUCCGCCCCU